GACGUAGGGUGCGAGCGUUGUCCGGAUUUAUUGGGCGUAAAGAGCUCGUAGGCGGCUCGUCGCGUCUGCCGUGAAAGUCCGGGGCUCAACUCCGGAUCUGCGGUGGGUACGGGCAGACUAGAGUGAUGUAGGGGAGACUGGAAUUCCUGGUGUAGCGGUGAAAUGCGCAGAUAUCAGGAGGAACACCGAUGGCGAAGGCAGGUCUCUGGGCAUUAACUGACGCUGAGGAGCGAAAGCAUGGGGAGCGAACAGG
rnacentral:rRNA from 1 species